UACGUAGGGUGCGAGCGUUGUCCGGAAUUAUUGGGCGUAAAGGGCUCGUAGGCGGUUUGUCGCGUCGGGAGUGAAAACCCAGGGCUUAACCCUGGGCUGGCUUCCGAUACGGGCAGACUAGAGGUAUGCAGGGGAGAACGGAAUUCCUGGUGUAGCGGUGAAAUGCGUAGAUAUCUGGAGGAACACCGGUGGCGAAGGCGGCGUUCUGGACUGUCUCUGACACUGAAGAACGAAAGCCAGGGGAGCAAACGGG
rnacentral:rRNA from 1 species